AACAGCAGGAGGAACACGUGCUACCUUGAUCAAAUCUUCCAAUUUCUUUGAAGAGAAAUUGCUCACACCAAUAGCUCGAGUUUUGCCAGCAUCGUAGAGGGCUUCCAAUGCUUUCCAAGUGCUAGGUAUAUCUGGCUGAACAAGGUUUUCUGGCUUAAAGCCUACUGACCCCUUCUUCAUCCGGACUGGCCAAUGGAU